rnacentral:rRNA from 1 species
UACGUAGGGGGCAAGCGUUUGUCCGGAAUCAUUGGGCGUAAAGAGCGUGUAGGCGGCCCGAUAAGUCCGCUGUGAAAGUCGAGGGCUCAACCCUCGAAUGCCGGCGGAUACUGUCGGGCUAGAGUCCGGAAGAGGCGAGUGGAAUUCCUGGUGUAGCGGUGAAAUGCGCAGAUAUCAGGAGGAACACCGAUGGCGAAGGCAGGUCUCUGGGCCACUACUGACGCUGAGAAGCGAAAGCAUGGGGGAGCGAACAGG